AUACUUAACUGGCAAGGGAGAUACCAUGAUGAAAAAGGUGGUUUUCCAGGGGAAAGGCUUAUCCAUUGAACUGCAGAUGUGCUGACCCCUGCAAUUUCCCCAAAUGUAGGAAACCCAGCUGCGUAAUUUCUGGUAGUGGGGGACUGCAUUCCUGCAAUCCACUG